GACGAACGCUGGCGGCGUGCCUAAUACAUACAAGUUGAGCGAUGAAGAUUGGUGCUUGCACCAAUUUGAAGAGCAGCGAACGGGUGAGUAACGCGUGGGGAAUCUGCCUUUGAGCGGGGGACAACAUUUGGAAACGAAUGCUAAUACCGCAUAAUAACUUUAAACAUAAGUUUUAAGUUUGAAAGAUGCAAUUGCAUCACUCAAAGAUGAUCCCGCGUUGUAUUAGCUAGUUGGUGAGGUAAAGGCUCACCAAGGCGAUGAUACAUAGCCGACCUGAGAGGGUGAUCGGCCACAUUGGGACUGAGACACGGCCCAAACUCCUACGGGAGGCAGCAGUAGGGAAUCUUCGGCAAUGGACGAAAGUCUGACCGAGCAACGCCGCGUGAGUGAAGAAGGUUUUCGGAUCGUAAAACUCUGUUGGUAGAGAAGAACGUUGGUGAGAGUGGAAAGCUCAUCAAGUGACGGUAACUACCCAGAAAGGGACGGCUAACUACGUG
rnacentral:rRNA from 1 species